AGGUAAGAUAAUGUAACAUUAAGUUAACAUAAUGUAAGGUAAGAUAAUGUAACAUUAAAUUAACAUAAUGUAAGGUAAGAUAAUGUAACAUUAAGCUAAAAUAAUGUAAGUUAACAUAAUGUAAGGUAAGAUAAUGUAACAUUAAGUUAACAUAAUGUAAGGUAAGAUAAUGUAACAUUAAAUUAACAUAAUGUAAGGUAAGAUAAUGUAACAUUAAGCUAAAAUAAUGUAAGUUAACAUAAUGUAAGGUAAGAUAAUGUAACACUAGGUUAACAUAAUGUAAGGUAAAAUAAUGUAACAUUAAGUUAACAUAAUGUAAGGUAACAUAAUGUAACAUUAAGUUAAAAUAAUGUAAGUUAACAUAAUGUAAGGUAAGAUAAUGUAACACUAAGUUAACAUAAUGUAAGGUAAGAUAAUGUAACAUUAAGUUAAAAUAAUGUAAGGUAAGAUAAUGUAACAUUAAGUUAAAAUAAUGUAAGGUAAGAUAAUGUAACAUUAAGUUAACAUAAUGUAAGGUAAGAUAAUGUAACACUAAGAUAACAUAAUGUAAGGUAAGAUAAUGUAACACUAAGUUAACAUAAUGUAAGGUAAGAUAAUGUAACAAUACGUUUACAUAAUGUAAGGUAAGAUAAUGUAACACUAAGUUAAAAUAAUGUAAGUUAACAUAAUGUAAGGUAAGAUAAUGUAACAAUAAGUUAACAUAAUGUAAGAUAAGAUAAUGUAACAAUAAGUUAACAUAAUGCAAGUUAACAUAAUGUAAGGUAAGAUAAUGUAACACUAAGUUAACACAAUGUAAGGUAAGAUAAUGUAACACUAAGUUAAAAUAAUGUAAGGUAAGAUAAUCUAACAUUAAGUUAACAUAAUGUAAGGUAAGAUAAUGUAACAAUCAGUUAACAUAAUGUAAGGUAAGAUAAUGUAACAAUAAGUUAACAUAAUGUAAGGUAAGAUAAUGUAAGGUAAGAUAAUGUAACACUAAGUA